UUUGGCGGGAAUAUUGAACUUUAAACCACCUUAUUCCCGGCGUGCACAGCAAUCCCCUCACGUCAUUUUCUCUUCAUAAAAUUAGUGUCCGCUUGUUUUCCAUCUACUUUCUUCAAAGUCUGUAUAUUAAUUAAGCAGAACGAAAGUUAAUGGCACAGUCUGGGGCACGGAGGGCAGAGCCGACGCCUUCAGCUUCCGCUGCCAACCUUCACACAUUAUACCUUAAUUUUACUUUUACCUUAUCGUAACAUUUGAUUUUCUGAAUUGUAGGCCACAGUUAACCUUUGCAUGUUCCAGUCACUGAUGUGUGAUGCAUAGCGUGUGCAGGGUCUUACUUUUUUUUUUUUACAGAAUUUCGUUGAACUGCUCGUUAUCCCUCCCAGACUCAGUGCCGUCAGCGGCCAUUUUUAUUUCUCUCCCCAGAAACCAUGGUUUAUAAAAAAAAGACCACCAGGGGUCCCCAUGCCAUCCAGAACAUAAUCUUGCCUGACUGCAGCAUCAUCUUUGUCGCAGCUGAAGAACAGGCUGGGACAAAGUCCAGGAAGUGAGGGUGGGACUAGCACUCCUCUGUGCUCACUCCUGUCCUAUCAGACGCCUGUCUGAAUACAGAAAGGAGGAGGUUACAGAGCAGCCUGCAGUGACUGAAUAAAGAGACCCAGCACAGCACAGCAGACUCAGUGAAUGCAUGGUGAGUGAGGGAGGGCUCAGUCCUUGCCUCGGACACUGCAGAAUGCCAGAAUUAGAGAGCAGCAGAAUGGAAGGAUUUGUAAGCCAGUCACAGAAGCUAUAGACAUAAAAAACCCAUGGAAAGAAUCUGCAUGACUUGGAAAUGCCAAAGUGUUAUUUACAGGCGCCUUCACCAGCCAAGCAGCUGAAUGUAGUGCAGACGGCAGAAGACCUAUACAUGGUGCAGCCGCUAUUCAUCUUAUCUUAUAUUAAAUCAGCAAUUAAUUCCCAGCUACCUUUAGAGGCUCAUAAUUUUCAUAUUGCGGUGUAUUAUCCAUUCAUGUGCCGGACAACACAGGCCAUCUAUGAAAGUGCAGAACUGUCCAUUACGCCCUGCAGAUACAACAAGUCCCUCAUAUCUGUAAAUGCCCCGACAUAAUGUGCAGAAUAAGAAAUUGUAUCAUUUAUUGACCCUUAUCUAUAAAGGGCUGGCAUAGUGCCAUGAGCAUCAUAAGCUUUAUGGACUCAUGCAUCAACUAGGCCAUGAAUAUCAGAUUGGUGGGGGGUUCUAUUCUGCAU